AUAUGUGAGCUCUAGUUUCACGAGUGCCUACACAUGGAGAAUAUUGACCUUUGAGGGAAUCAACUAUCUGGGAGGCUCAAACUUGUGAAUUUGAAUAUGGACAUGGCUUCCAGAAGAAGGGAUAGGCACAACAAAGAGAUGGAAAAACUAAGGUCCAAGAGAUGGUUCUCCACUUGGCAGGGAGGGAAAUCAGCAAUGAGUUAUCU
rnacentral:lncRNA from 1 species